UAUCAUAAGGGUGAUAGUUAUCAAAUUCAACAUUGUUAUUUUUCUUUGCAUUCCAUCUUUUCUUUCGUAACCAAAAGUUUUUCUGUGAAAAUGAAUAAAUUUUUGAACAUUUUCACUUUUCUUUAUCUCCUUGCUAUAUUCACAGGUUUAAGCGUACGUAAUUAUGGAAUGGUUGAGAGUCGAAGUCUGCUGCAGCCCAAACCCAUCUCGCAUAUGAUGAACCAAGUGACUGUAUAUCCGCAAAAACAGCCAUGUCCGCCUGGGUGCAACUGGACAUGCGACUUAGCAUUUGCCACAGGUUGUAAAUGCAUAUGCUAGGAAAUCUAUGUAUAAUCAAUGUCAAACCUAUGGAAAUAAUAGUAAUAUUAUUAAUAUUAAUAUAUAUAUAUAUGGACCUUUGGUGUAACAAAAAAAAAAUCUACAUGUACAAUAAAAAUUAUGUUAAAGACCACUUUGGCACAAAUAUGAUCACCACUGUACCGUUUAAGGUA